UCCCUGGUAGUAUAUCGGUUAGUACACGCGCCUGUCAUUAGAUGGUUAGCUCUCUAUCCGCGCGAAAGCUGGGUUCGACUCCCAGCCAGGGAG